CAAUAGCGUAUAUUAAAGUUGUUGCAGUUAAAAAGCUCGUAGUUGGAUUUCUGGUGGGAGCGAUCGGUCUGGCGCUUAGCGCGAGUACUUGCAUCGUCUCCGGCCAUCCUUGGGGAGAGUUUGUCUGGCAUUAGGUUGUCGGGCAGAGGAUCCUCAUCGUUUACUGUGAAAAAAUUAGAGUGUUCAAAGCAGGCUUAUGCCGUUGAAUAUAUUAGCAUGGAAUAAUAAGAUAGGACUUUGGUACUAUUUUGUUGGUUUGCGCACCAAAGUAAUGAUUAAUAGGGACAGUUGGGGGUAUUCGUAUUCCGUUGUCAGAGGUGAAAUUCUUGGAUUUACGGAAGACGAACUACUGCGAAAGCAUUUACCAAGGAUGUUUUCAUUAA
rnacentral:rRNA from 1 species